rnacentral:rRNA from 1 species
CACGUAGGGAGCAAGCGUUGUCCGGAUUUAUUGGGCGUAAAGAGCUCGUAGGCUGUUCGAUAAGUCGGGUGUGAAACCUCCAGGCUCAACCUGGAGACGCCACCCGAUACUGUCAUGACUAGAGUCCGGUAGGGGAGCGUGGAAUUCCUGGUGUAGCGGUGAAAUGCGCAGAUAUCAGGAGGAACACCAGCGGCGAAGGCGGCGCUCUGGGCCGGUACUGACGCUGAGGAGCGAAAGCGUGGGUA